UGUCUCCGUCCCGAGGUAGGGAGGUGCGACACGGGGCGGAGAGUCCACCCUCUCUCCGUCCCCCGAGGUAGGGAACCAUCAUAUGGCCUCGACGCGCUCUUCAUUUGGUUCUCUGUGGCGACGUCGUUGGCAGCGAAGGUGGCUCUCACACGGUGCCGUCGCCCAUCUCCCUUCCUUCAAGCAGACGAUGCCACGUCUUAUAUGGUCCAAUAUCCCCCCUCGCCACCGUCCCAUAACCAGUCGCACUCCGCCACAUUCCCACUUGUGCUCCGAUAUUUCUGCGUCUCCCAAUUAUUGGGGGCCAAUCCAAUCCAUUGCCAUCAUAUUUAGAUGGAUCGGAUAAGGUUAGAUGGACGUAUCUGUUUGCGUGGAGGGAGUUGAAUACGGUUCCCAGGCGUGUGAGUUACGCCGCCAUCGGUCGCGCUUCACCUGAGUUCUUCUCUGCUACGGUCGGUUUCGCUGUCGAAGUUGCCAUCGGCCACUCGCGACCUUGGUUGCGUCGAUCAGCUGUUCGAUGUAAUGCCACAAUUAGCAAGUGGUGCUUUCGGUUUGGUUGGUCCUGCUGGGAAGGAAUUUACUAGCGUCGGAUCAAUGAAGGGGUGGGAAGUGCGGUCAGAGACGGCUGAGGUUUCGCGUCGCCAUUGGUGGGGGUGGGGGUGGGGGUGGGGGUUGGAUGAGACGCGGGCAGCUGCUGCCAAUGAUUGAAGCCCGGCAUUGCUGCUGAUGUUUCUUUUGAUGAUGGCUUCAUGUGCAUUUGGAGAUUCUUGUCGACUGCUUGUUCAUAUGGUUCCAUCAGAACGAGCGACAUGGUUCGAAUGCAGUGAUGUCUGCUGGAUUGGCUGCAGCAAAGGCAAGCAGUAGACCCACCCCGCUUGCGAUUGCAGUUCAUUUUGGCAGUGACAUGCGAAAGCCAUCCCAUUUACGAACUUGUCCGGUUAGUGGGUGCACCCUCCAUGUGAUGAGAGUCCUUCUCUGCUCUCCCACCACAGGUACCUCUCUCUCCUCUUCUAUCUUUAGUGAGUCGAGAUUUGAUCGUUGGAUAUAUAAUGAUAACGGUUAGUUAGAAUUUA